rnacentral:lncRNA from 1 species
GGGUAUUUGAAACAUUAGGACAGGAAAUAUCAAGUAGGAGUGAAGCAGAGCUGGAGGAGAGAGCAAAGCACUGUCCCAUAGGAGAGAGCAGGAGACAGGUAUGUAAGGUAGAGAUUACUCCGGGAGGCCAUAAGCUUUCCUGAAGAGAUGGGUUUUAAGGCCCUUCUUAAAUGAUUGAAGACUAGGGGAGAGUCUGAUGGCAGUAGGCAAGCUAUUCCAUAGGAGAGGAG